GGAUCCUUUCCCGCCCGCCCGUUGCCAUUGUCACGGCAGCGUCUCUGUCCGGGGAUGAGAAGGCGUAGCUGCAUGAAAAUGGGGCUGUUAUUAAAAGAAUAGGAGGAGGAAUCGGAGGAGGAGGAGGAGAUGGAAGCAGGAGCCGGAGCUGAGGAAGGUUGCCAAGGAGGAGGAACGGGAGGAGGAGGAACAGGAGGCGAAGCCCUCGGCAGGCAGCCGGCAUUCACUCCGCAGAGGAGCUGGCGAGCCAGAGAAGAAGAAACAUGUAUUUAAAACCAACACGUAGAGGUAAUGAUGCGGCCGUCAUUCAUUAGCUGCCUGGAAGUGAGUCCUGGGAUACGCUCAGCUCAGCUCCAGAACAGCAGUGUAGACAACCAGCCCGCGGACGACCCCCGCAGUGCGUUGGCAACAUGGGAGACUCUCCUUGGGGGGUCUGGGCGCGCACCUCUUGGGCUCCAGGAGAAAAGUCUGAAACGAGGCGGGUGAGGCCAGUGCUUUUGUCCCAAAGAUCUUCAGGGAAACAACCUCGAGAUGGAGAAAGACGGCAGUCUUGGCUGAAUAACCCGGGAAACAUGCUCUUUGGUCCCAGGCAGGCUUACAGCAGCCUAUGAAAGUGAAAAGUGCUAAAACUCCAAACUGAGUAUCCUGCUUGGGUGCUUCCCUUUGGAGAGUCGAGGUGAAUUUUCUAGCUGUUGGGUAGAGCUGGACUCAGCAGGGGUGGCCAAAGUUAGCCCUGGGGGCAAGGAGACCCUCCCACACGGCUCCUGAGCCCCUCAGGCUUCCUGGCCUAAGCAUGCACCAUCCGCAGCCAAGAACAAUCUAGAAUCAUUGGCGCCCACGCUGUGCCAAGCAUUGUCAAGGGGACCUGUGGCUCCGAAGUGCAGGAAACAAGGUAUGUCCUGGGGCCAGAUCUGCCAUGGGGAUGCCGUGUGGCUACAGGUGAGAUGCUAGACUUCACUGGCCCUCAGUCACCUUCUCAUGGCUGGGCUGGUACUGCCUACCUUGCAGGCUGGCUCACUCCCUCCUGGAUAUGUGUCACCUGUUCAUCAAGGCCCUGCACUGUGUGUGUGCACCACAGAUGGGGCACAGCCCUGCCUUGCCCUCAAGGGGCUUACAUUCUACCGGUGAUGCAAAGACAGACAGAUAAGAUCACGUCUAGAAGCAAGGAGAACCACGCAGACAACUUCUGGACAAGGCUGGGCGUGGAGGGUUUCCUGGAAGCACGUCUCUGUGCAGAGGCCUUCGCUGGUACCUUCCCGCCGGCCCAGAAGGUCCUUGUGGCUGAGCUUCUGCCACCGUGUGACCCUGCUCCUGCCUGACCUCUGCCACUGCGGCCCCCGUGUCUGCGGCCCUGCCACGCUGACCCGUGAGCUCCUCAUUAAGCGCUGCCCUGUCUGCCCCGUGAGCCUCGGCUCCUCGGCUCCCUUGUGAGCAGAAAAAUCCCCAGACUCAUAAACUGGAGGCUGGAGACAGGCCCCGAGCCGGGGACCCAUGGCCCGACCAUGUCAAGAGAACCCCCCAUGUGGGUGAAAACUGGAAACCUCUCCCCCACUCUCCCGCGUGGACUCGCCCCAACCAAGCAGGUGUUCCACGUGAUGGAGGAAGCCCUGCAGCCAGGGCCAUGCCCAAGGGAGCUGGCGCCAACCCAGAGAUGAAGGUGCCAGGGCAGCACCGACCAGAGGCCUCUGGGACCAGAGGGAUAGGUAGGCCUUAAGCUCCGUCCUCAAGGGCCCUGAGAAGCGCCUCUGCCCAGAGGAGAGCCAGGGACCGGGGCCAUCUGCGCCCGUCCUUGCGGUGCUGAGGUCUGAGG
rnacentral:lncRNA from 1 species